rnacentral:rRNA from 1 species
UGGGGAAUAUUGCACAAUGGGGGGAAACCCUGAUGCAGCGACGCCGCGUGAACGAAGAAGUAUUUCGGUAUGUAAAGUUCUAUCAGCAGGGAAGAUAAUGACGGUACCUGACUAAGAAGCACCGGCUAAAUACGUGCCAGCAGCCGCGGUAAAACGUAGGGUGCAAGCGUUGUCCGGAAUUACUGGGUGUAAAGGGAGCGCAGGCGGACCGGCAAGUUGGAAGUGAAACUAUGGGCUCAACCCAUAAAUUGCUUUCAAAACUGCUGGCCUUGAGUAGUGCAGAGGUAGGUGGAAUUCCCGGUGUAGCGGUGGAAUGCGUAGAUAUCGGGAGGAACACCAGUGGCGAAGGCGACCUACUGGGCACCAACUGACGCUGAGGCUCGAAAGCAUGGGUAGCAAACAGGAUUAGAUACCCUGGUAGU